AAGUCGUAACAAGGUUUCCGUAGGUGAACCUGCGGAAGGAUCAUUCACACAUAAAAAUCCACGUUGGUAGCAAUAUGUUGUAGCAAUAUGACAUUGUUAUCAUGUGGUAAACCCAAAUUUAAUACAAACCCCCAAAACGUCAUUACACCCACGUCAUUACACCCCCGUAUUAUGCCAGGCUUGCUUAAAGAUACCAUAUUUAAUUAUAUGGUGCUCGCUUGGUAUGGUACACCCCGGCCGUACCUGACAAAUCUAUAAAAUUCCAAAGCCUCUGAGCUCUGGUCGCCGAGUAGGGUACGGUACAAAUUUUAUAAUUAACUAUUUUAUAACAAUUUUAACAAUUUUAUUUUUUAAUUUUAACUUUAAAUAUACAACCCUUUGCAAUGGAUAUCUUGGUUCUC
rnacentral:misc_RNA from 1 species